rnacentral:lncRNA from 10 species
GGCACUCUGUAUCUAGCUCAAGGUUUGUAAACACACCAAUCGGCACCCUGUGUCUAGCUCAGGGUUUGUGAGUGCACCAAACGACACUCUGUAUCUAGCUACUCUGGUGGGGCCUUGGAGAACCUUUGUGUAGACACUCUGUAUCUAACUAAUCUGGUGGGGACGUGGAGAACCUUUGUGUCUAGCGCAGGGAUUGUAAAUGCACCAAUCAGUGCCCUGACAAAACAGACCACUCGGCUCUACCAAUCAGCAGGACGUGGGUGGGGCCAGAUAAGAGAAUAAAAGCAGGCUGCCCGAACCAGCAUUGGCAACCCGCUGGGGUCCGCUUCCACACUGUGUAGGCUUUGUUCUUUCGCUCUUUGCAAUAACUCUUGCUACUGUGCACUCUUUGGGUCUAUACUGCUUUUAUGAGCUGUAACACUCACCGCGAAGGUCUGCAGCUUCACUCCUGAAGCCAGUGAGACCACGAGCCCACCGGGAGGAACUAACAACUCCAGACGCGCUGCCUUAAGAGCUGUAACACUCACUGCGAAGGUCUGCAGCUUCACUCCUGAGCCAGUGAGACCACGAACCCACCAGAAGAAAGAAACUCCGAACACAUCUGAACGUCAGAAGGAACAAACUCCAGACGUGCCACCUUAAGAACUGUAACACUCACCGAGAGGAUCUGCGGCUUCAUUUUUGAAGGCAGUGAGACCAAGAACCCACCAAUUCCGGACCCAGCAUGAACCACAGAGCCUGGCCAAUAGAUGCGUCUUGAGCCCCUAGUCUCCAUUAAGUAUUUUAAAAGAUGCAGAAAUUGAGGCACAGAUUUAAAUAACUUGCACUA